CUGAUCCAGCCAUGCCGCGUGUGUGAAGAAGGCCUUAGGGUUGUAAAGCACUUUCAGGGGUGAGGAAGGGUAAUGGAWUAAUACUUCAUUAUCUUGACGUUAGCCCCAGAAGAAGCACCGGCUAACUCUGUGCCAGCAGCCGCGGUAAU
rnacentral:rRNA from 1 species